rnacentral:rRNA from 1 species
GACGAACGCUGGCGGCGUGCUUAACACAUGCAAGUCGAACGGAAAGGCCCUGCUUUUGUGGGGUGCUCGAGUGGCGAACGGGUGAGUAACACGUGAGUAACCUGCCCUUGACUUUGGGAUAACUUCAGGAAACUGGGGCUAAUACCGGAUAGGAGCUCCUGCUGCAUGGUGGGGGUUGGAAAGUUUCGGCGGUUGGGGAUGGACUCGCGGCUUAUCAGCCUGUUGGUGGGGUAGUGGCUUACCAAGGCUUUGACGGGUAGCCGGCCUGAGAGGGUGACCGGCCACAUUGGGACUGAGAUACGGCCCAGACCCCUACGGGAGGCAGCAGUGGGGAAUAUUGCACAAUGGGCGGAAGCCUGAUGCAGCAACGCCGCGUGCGGGAUGACGGCCUUCGGGUUGUAAACCGCUUUCGCCUGUGACGAAGCGUGAGUGACGGUAAUGGGUAAAGAAGCACCGGCUAACUACGUG